rnacentral:rRNA from 1 species
GAUGAACGCUAGCGACAGGCCUAACACAUGCAAGUCGAGGGGCAUCGGGACGUAGCAAUACGUUGCCGGCGACCGGCGGAUGGGUGAGUAACGCGUAUGCAACCUACCCGUAGCAGGGGGAUAGCCCGUUGAAAGACGGAUUAAUACCCCGUAACACAGGGGCUCCGCAUGGAGAUUAUUGUUAAAGGGUCAUUUCUUUUUCAGGGAUGGUCCGGCUGCGGAUGGGCAUGCGUUCCAUUAGGUAGUUGGUGUAGGUAACUGCUCACCAAGCCGACGAUGGAUAGGGGAACUGAGAGGUUGGUCCCCCACACUGGUACUGAGACACGGACCAGACUCCUACGGGAGGCAGCAGUGAGGAAUUUUGGUCAAUGGACGCAAGUCUGAACCAGCCAUGUCGCGUGAAGGAGGACGGCCCUAAGGGUUGUAAACUUCUUUUGCAGUGGAAUAAAGUUUGCCACGUGUUGGCGAUUUGCAAGUACGCUGCGAAUAAGGAUCGGCUAACUCCGUGCCAGCA